rnacentral:rRNA from 1 species
CGUUGGGAGCUCUCCCNUAUGGUCGACCUGCAGGCGGCCGCGAAUUCACUAGUGAUUAGAGUUUGAUCCUGGCUCAGAUUGAACGCUGGCGGCGUGCUUAACACAUGCAAGUCGAACGUGAAAGUCCUUCGGGGCGAGUAAAGUGGCGCACGGGUGAGUAACGCGUGGAUAAUCUACCCUUAAGAUGGGGAUAACGGCUGGAAACGGUCGCUAAUACCGAAUACGCUCCCGAUUUUAUCGUUGGGGGGAAAGAUGGCCUCUGCUUGCAAGCUAUCGCUUAAGGAUGAGUCCGCGUCCCAUUAGCUAGUUGGCGGGGUAACGGCCCACCAAGGCAACGAUGGGUAGCCGGUCUGAGAGGAUGACCGGCCACACUGGAACUGGAACACGGUCCAGACUCCUACGGGAGGCAGCAGUGGGGAAUAUUGCGCAAUGGGCGAAAGCCUGACGCAGCGACGCCGCGUGAGGGAUGAAGGUUCUCGGAUCGUAAACCUCUGUCAGGGGGGAAGAAACCCCCUCGUGUGAAUAAUGCGAGGGCUUGACGGUACCCCCAAAGGAAGCACCGGCUAACUCCGUGCCAGCAGCCGCGGUAAUACGGAGGGUGCAAGCGUUAAUCGGAAUCACUGGGCGUAAAGCGCACGUAGGCGGCUUGGUAAGUCAGGGGUGAAAUCCCACAGCCCAACUGUGGAACUGCCUUUGAUACUGCCAGGCUUGAGUACCGGAGAGGGUGGCGGAAUUCCAGGUGUAGGAGUGAAAUCCGUAGAUAUCUGGAGGAACACCGGUGGCGAAGGCGGCCACCUGGACGGUAACUGACGCUGAGGUGCGAAAGCGUGGGUAGCAAACAGGAUUAGAUACCCUGNUAGUCCACGCUGUAAACGAUGGGUGCUGGGUGCUGGGAUGUAUGUCUCGGUGCCGUAGCUAACGCGAUAAGCACCCCGCCUGGGGAGUACGGUCGCAAGGCUGAAACUCAAAGAANUGACGGGGGCCCGCACAAGCGGNGGA